rnacentral:lncRNA from 1 species
UAAUAGCGACCAUCCGGAGGUCCAUCUUAGCCGGGGAGUGGGGGACUCCCUGGGGGGCCUAGCAGGGGCCCACCCGAAAGGGCACAAAGCGUUUGCUCAGUAAAUCCAUGGUUGACGACGCACUGACGCUAAUUAUGCUUCUGCAAAGUCUAGCGGGAGAAACGAUUCAAACCGCCGAUCAACUCCCCAACCAAGAUUGCCCUCCUUGACUGGGGAUUUGGGGGACUUGUACAUAC